rnacentral:rRNA from 1 species
GGGGAAUUUUGCGCAAUUGGGGAAACCCUGACGCAGCAACGCCGCGUGGAGGAUGAAAUAUCUUGGUAUGUAAACUCCUUUCGAUGGGGAAGAUAAUGACGGUACCCAUAGAAGAAGCCCCGGCUAACUUCGUGCCAGCAGCCGCGGUAAUACGAGGGGGGCAAGCGUUGUUCGGAAUUAUUGGGCGUAAAGGGUGCGUAGGCGGUUUGACAAGUCUCAUGUGAAAUCUCUGGGCUCAACCCAGAGUCUGCAUGGGAAACUGUCGGGCUCGAGUAUUGGAGAGGUGAGUGGAAUUUCCGGUGUAGCGGUGAAAUGCGUAGAUAUCGGAAGGAACACCUGUGGCGAAAGCGGCUCACUGGACAAUAACUGACGCUGAUGCACGAAAGCUAGGGGAGCAAA